GAUGAACGCUGACAGAAUGCUUAACACAUGCAAGUCAACUUGAAUUUGGGUUUUUAACUUAGGUUUGGGUGGCGGACGGGUGAGUAACGCGUAAAGAACUUGCCUCACAGCUAGGGACAACAUUUGGAAACGAAUGCUAGUACCUAAUAUUAUGAUAAUAGGGCAUCCUAUAAUUAUGAAAGCUAUAAGCGCUGUGAGAGAGCUUUGCGUCCCAUUAGCUAGUUGGAGAGGUAACGGCUCACCAAGGCGAUGAUGGGUAGCCGGCCUGAGAGGGUGAUCGGCCACAAGGGGACUGAGACACGGCCCUUACUCCUACGGGAGGCAGCAGUGGGGAAUAUUGGACAAUGGACCGAGAGUCUGAUCCAGCAAUUCUGUGUGCACGAUGAAGUUUUUCGGAAUGUAAAGUGCUUUCAGUUGGGAAGAAACAAAUGACGGUACCAACAGAAGAAGUGACGGCUAAAUACGUG
rnacentral:rRNA from 1 species